GACCAACAGUCACAUGACCUCACUAUUUCGGAUGCAAACAGCCCUAAUAUUAUGAGAUUUUUACCAUUCAAAUUUAGUAAGCUAUGCUGAUAUCGGCUGUGCUUUUGGUCGACUCAGUCUCAUCCUGAAAUUAACAAAAAAGAAACGUCCAAACCAGAAAAAUAGAAUAUAUUGCAAUGGCCAGACUGCUCUUGGUUUGCUUUGUCGCCAAAUUAUUUCCAUUGUUUCUCUUAGUCUGAUCUCACCCUCAGGGUCCUUCGUGAACAAAAUUCAUAUUCCCGUAGCACUAUUUUUACCCAGUAUCUCUAGAAACCAAUCAUACGUCAUCUGGCAUGUCAACGCCCGGAUGAAUGAAAAGGCCCGUACAGUCACCUGACCUAGCAGCUGAAAAAAACAGACCACAGAAGAGAAAUUUUACCAUUCGUUAAUGCUGCCGUAAAAUGCGGAGGUUGCUUAUAUUGAGCGCCAGGUUUUUAUAGAUAACUUCCUUCUCUUACGGCACAAUUUAUUUCUUUCAAGACAAAGAGUCGUUCACUGGUUGCGACGGGGCGCAAAUUUUCCACACGCGAAGAUUGAGAUUAAUGCCACGCUCUUACUUUGAACGUAAGAGAUUCGGAACCUACUAGUCGGCCACAUCUGGAAAUCUGAGAUGGCACAGUUGCCAGAUACACACCAGUCAACAGGAGGUGUAGCACCCAGGAAACCCCCAGGUCAAUUUAUCAAAAGGGUUCUUUUACUAAAGAAUGGCGAUUUUCAAAGAAUCCAUGGCCAAGUUUUCAUGCCAACGGAAAGUGAAAUAUCAACAAUAAAAAGAAAUGCUCAACUAGGACAGUUCAGAAAAGGAGUCGAGUUUUGUACAAGCAUGUCAGAAGACGAGGUAAAGAAAAGACUCCAAGAGACGUUUCCCUAUUUGGAAAAUGCACGGUAAGGCAAGAUUUCAGAUUCUUCAAGAGGCACUGAUGAAUAUUUUAACUUUCUUGGGAAAAGAACUUGUCUAGAUGGCGAAGGACCUGGAUGCUACAUUUUACCCUCGCUUCGGUCACCCCAAAACGCACACCAUGCAGACUGCAGACUGCAGACCGUGCAGACCAUGCAGACCGUGCAGACUGUGCAGACUGAGUCCUUUUUUUCCACCACUUGACUCACUUUUUUCGCUGCUAGUGACAAAAUAGUGUUCAAUAUGUCUUAACGUUUGUUAUUUAUCCACAGGCGGCACAAACUCAACAUCUGACUGUUGAUUCAUGCGUUUAAUAGACUUUCUGUGGGAAAUUAUCUUUACUGGUCCUAAAUAAACUAAAACCAAGCAUAAAAAUAAACUUCCAUACAUUCUGGGCGCAAAUUGCGUCAAUUUUUGACGGGUUUGUGGUUUUAUUUAUUUUGUGCGAAAAUAAAUAAAUAAUUGUUGUGUUUUUUUUUUUUUUCAAUUUUCUUAGUCUUCGUUCUCUUCUUAACUGAUUCCUAAAACAACGCAAGGACAGUGACUCUAAGCAACCUUGUCCCACAAAUCGCUUUUGCUUCACAAAGCACAGAAUCGCCAUUAGACUGGGAGUAUUCCCUCUUUCGCUAAGUUGAACACGACGGUAAGUAAACCUCAAGGAAAAAAAAUGCUUGCAUGAAAUUUUUUCCUCAAGGUUUUCUUAUGCGUCAC